rnacentral:tRNA from 1 species
AAGGGUGUAACUCAGUGGUACGGUGUGUGCUUAGCGUGCACGAGGUCUUGGGUUCAAUCCCCAGUACCUCCA